rnacentral:rRNA from 1 species
UACGAAGGGGCUAGCGUUGUUCGGAAUUACUGGGCGUAAAGGGCUCGUAGGCGGCCAACUAAGUCAUACGUGAAAUCCCUCGGCUUAACCGGGGAACUGCGUCUGAUACUGGAUGGCUUGAGAUGGGAGAGGGAUGCGGAAUUCCAGGUGUAGCGGUGAAAUGCGUAGAUAUCUGGAGGAACACCGGUGGCGAAGGCGGCAUCCUGGACCAACACUGACGCUGAGG